UACGUAGGGGGCAAGCGUUGUCCGGAAUCAUUGGGCGUAAAGAGCGUGUAGGCGGCCAGAUAAGUCCGCUGUGAAAUCUCGAGGCUCAACUUCGAGCUGUCGGUGGAAACUGUCUGGCUAGAGUCCGGAAGAGGAGAAUGGAAUUCCUGGUGUAGCGGUGAAAUGCGCAGAUAUCAGGAGGAACACCAAUGGCGAAGGCAGAUCUCUGGGCCGUAACUGACGCUGAGGAGCGAAAGCAUGGGGAGCGAACAGG
rnacentral:rRNA from 1 species